rnacentral:misc_RNA from 1 species
AAAGUCGUAACAAGGUUUCCGUAGGUGAACCUGCGGAAGGAUCAUUUGCAAUUAUUGUUGGGGUGUGAGUUGGAUGCGAGCAAUCGUAGCUUACUCUGCUCUGAAAAGCACAGAGAGUCCAUUUCUCUGAUGUUUGCGCUUGUAUUGUUUGACAAUUGUAGAGACAAUAAAUAUAUAUAACUUUUAACAAUGGAUCUCUUGGCUCUU